AGUGAACGCUGGCGGCAGGCCUAAUACAUGCAAGUCGAACGGCAGCACGGCAGAGCUUGCUCUGUGGGUGGCGAGUGGCGGACGGGUGAGGAAUACAUGGGAAUCUGCCCAGUCGUGGGGGAUAACGUAGGGAAACUUACGCUAAUACCGCAUGCGCCCUUCGGGGGAAAGCCGGGGACCUUCGGGCCUGGCGCGAUUGGAUGAGCCCAUGUCGGAUUAGCUAGUUGCGGGGUAAUGGCCCACCAAGGCGACGAUCCGUAGCUGGUCUGAGAGGAUGAUCAGCACACUGGAACUGAGACACGGUCCAGACUCCUACGGGAGGCAGCAGUAGGGAAUAUUGGACAAUGGGCGCAAGCCUGAUCCAGCCAUGCCGCGUGAGUGAAGAAGGCCCUCGGGUUGUAAAGCUCUUUUGUUCCGGAAAG
rnacentral:rRNA from 1 species